rnacentral:lncRNA from 1 species
UUUAUAAAAUACCACAACCAUUAUAAAAUUCAUCAGCCUACUUGGAACCAACAACAACACCCCAUGGCAUAGUUCAUCCAUGACAUCCCCAAUGAAGCCCCAAGCAUUUCUUCCCCAAAUCGAAGAUCAAAUGCUGCUAAUGUGGUGAGUUCACAUUGCUGUGAUCUAAGUGGGAUAUUUUCAUGCCUAGAGACCCCAUUAACAUAACAUCCUUAUUAAACCACUAGCUAGAAUAAGAACUCAGCGUACGUACUCGCUAGACAUGCAAGAUUCUACUUACACACAAGUACCCACUAGAGAGACUGAAAACCUUUUUCCCAUAACCUCAUUACUCAGUCUUUUCUACUGGGGUUUCUGUUUCAACCUCCUCCACUGCUUCAACAGGUUUCUCUUCUCCCUUGACUUCUUCUUCUUCCUUUGGAGCUUCGACUGCAACUUCUGGUUCUGGUGCCUGUGUCUCACCAGACUCGGUAGCCUCUUUAGCUUCUUCAACAACCUGCUCUGCAGGUACUUCCUCUGGAGACUCCUCUUUUGUCUCCUCAACAACCGGCUCUGGUGUUUCCUUAGGUGUCUCCUCCUCUGUUUUCUCUACCACUGUUGGCUCUUCUGCAAGAAUCUUGGUCUCUUCUACCACCUCUUUAGUCUCAACUUCAGCUGGGGCCUCGGGGACUGGUGCCACGGCCUCUUCAGAUGCUGCAGGUGUCUCUACUUCUUCUUUUGGCUCUUCAGCUACUGCCUCUGGUGCUGCAGCGACUGCUUCUUCUGUGGCGGUCUCAAUCUUGAUUGGUUGUUCAGUUUUUUCCUCUGCAAGUGCACUCUGCGCUGACACAACCUGCAGGAUAACCAGAUGAUCAAAGAAUGUUCACCAAAAUGCCGAUGCUAUCUAUUUUUCAAGAACUGUUACUUGAAGUGUCACAGUGAUAAGGAAAAAUGUUCACCAAAAUGCUGACGGGGUUUUACCUUUUGUUAUAUAUAUAUAUAUAUAUAUAUAUAUAUAUAUAGAGAGAGAGAGAGAGAGAGAGAGAGAGAUGAGGAUUAUGAGUUUUCAAAUAUGAUUAUCCAAGAAGUAAAGAUCAUAAAAUUGAUCAAGAUUUUUCAAAUUUUAACACUUGAUAUGUAUCAAAUGACUAAGAAGAAGCAUCUGUUAAAUAAGUUUCUCAACAGGGACAUUAAUUGAUUAAUAGUGAAUGAGUUACCUCGACAGUGGCCAUUGGAACUGAAAGGAAAAUAAAGCAAAUGGGAUACAAAGAAAACUGUAAGAAGCAAAAUAGAAAGGAGUGAUUAUCACACAAGAAGACGAGGAAAGAUUGCUUUGAGUGUUUGAUGCAAAGUGAUCAAUGAGAGUGGGUUUAUAUAGAGAUGUAAGGGUUAGUAUAAUAUGUUUUGUAGGCCAUCAAUCCAUGAUAUUAUUAUAUUCAUGUAAAUAUAUAUUUAUUAUUAAUAAAGACUUAAUUUUUUUAAUAUUUAUAUAAUAUUAUAUUAAUGAAUCUAAUAUUUAAUUUAUGAAUUUAGAGUAAAAAUAAAGUUCAUGAGAUAAAAAUAUUUUCCAAAAAAAAUUAUAAAGUUGUUAUAAUUCUAGGAUUUAUAUUGCAUCAAAGCAUUGUUCUUAAAAUGUUCUUGGUCGAUACUUUUUUAAAUACUGAAUAAUAUUAGAGUUGUAGAAACUCAUACGUAUUAUGUUCUUUCCUUUAUGAAAUGAAGAAGUUGAUCUCAAAAGUUUAGGUAUAAGGAAUACCUAGAACUAAUAUGUAGGUGUUUGUCAUAAGAUAUGUACAUUGAACUGACCCGCAUGAGAAUUCCAAAUGAAGAGAUCAUAUAUGUCUAUUGAAAGGCUCACGUAACGGUUAUGUAAGUGAUCCUUAGACUUGAGAUCACUAGGUUAUCUUAUAUAGAGAAUAUUAUGCUUUAAUCAUGUUGUAUGUUAUCUUAAUUGAGGUAACGAAGGAGCGAACAUUGGGUAUAUCAUGAACUAUAUAAAGGUAUUUGAGUGAUCAAAAGAGGAUGCAUCACUCUAUGUGAAUUAAGAAAAAUAUUUCAUCUGUUCCCAAAUAGUAUUGACUGAGAAAUCUUUGGUCAGAAUGGAAUGAGAUUUGAAAAGAGUUUCAAAUCUUAUUCAAACGAUCAAUAACUAUUAUAUGGAGAACAAACAUUAUUUAAGAAGGCAAACAUACUCCAUGCUUUAAUGUUAAAUCGAGAUAUUAUUGAUGAAAUGAUAUUGAUUACACUAAGAAACCAGUCACUAAAAGUUUAAGUCAAACCACUAAUAUCUUUUUCAAUAUUUGAGGGAUCAUGAUAUGUUGCUAGACGAUGCACCUAAUCUUCAAAUACAAUUUAAUCAAUUGUUCAAUUGAUAAUAAAUUAAAUUGUUUAAUUUCUUUAAUUCUAUUUAAUUAUAAUUAUAAUUUAUAUUUGGGCCAACAAAUAUAAGGACUAGAAUGUAAUUUACACAUGGAUUACAUUUAUAGACCUAGAAAAAUCAAAUAAGAACUUGAUUGAGUUAAUUUAUAAAAUUAUCAUGAAUUAAUAUAUGUAUAUUAUUCAAGGGGCAAAUUGGUAUUUUUUUAAUUUAUAGGGUUUUUCAGAUUUUCCUAUAAAUAUUAAUUUACGUCUCUUAUUUUUUAUUGGUUGUUUGUUAGACAGAAAAAUUACAUAAGUCACAUAAUAGAAAACUAGCACUAUAGGCAUAACAAUCUCUCUCUUUUAACUAGGGAUUUAAGAGAUUUUUUAUUGGUGGUUCGUAUAGAUUAUUAUUGGAGCCCGAAUAAUUGGAUGACUUGUAGUUUGCAACAACUCAAUCUUUAAAGAAUUAUUUAAAGUAAAAAAAUCAAACUUUCAAGUAAUAUAUCCCUGUAUAAUUUUAUUUUAUAAUUUUCAAUACGUAUAUAAUACUCGGAACCAAAAGUAACCGACCUCACGCUCAAUCAAUUGAGUGAGGGAGCUACUUUGAGGAAUCGUGGGAUAUGACACCUCAGCCUCACUGAAUUCAACGGGGAUUAGCAUGUUUGGUAAUGAUGUUUAGGAAAUUUUCUGGAGAUGGGGUUUAAGUAUUUUUAAUGGCUAGUUGUUUGUAUGCUUUUGAUCGGGAAAAAGGGUAAAAUAAUGGAGGUCAGGUCAUCUUCAUGAAAGCCAUCAUCUUCUUUUGGUUUUGUGUGCUUGUGUGCUUAGCGCAGUCGGCCCCGUACGUGACCUGUUUUCCAUCCUCCACCUGCCAUUCGUCCUUAAGACUAUUUUAUUUUUAUUUCUUGGCAUCGACCUUGCCAAGCUGUUUACCCUAUGGUAAAUAUUGUCGCACCGCCCUCUCAACUUCAUGAUUGUAUGAAUUUUGUCUUCCUAACAUGGAGUUAAUUAGUCCCAUUAAACCUUCAUAAUUAUAAUAUAUGAUGAUGCAUCUCACAAUAAUUUCUUGACAUUUUUGUUUCCUGUGGAGGCUGGUAAUUCACCCGUGAACGUACAAUGUAUUUGGGAAGCACCAUUGAUUUAUAUGUAGACUUGAGAAAAUAGAUGUUUAAUUUAUAAGAUUAUAUAAAGAUAUUUAGUUUAUAUUUUAUAGUAUUAUCCAUAAUAAUAUAAACCAAGGUGAAAUGUAUCAUAUGCUCUUUGUGUUAAUGUCUCACAUCAACCCGAGUUCGUCCUAUUUAAUUAUGCUAAAUCAAUUUUAUAAAAUCACCAUUUUGAUCAUUUUUUUUUAAUCUUUAUCCUCCAGGAUUUUUUUUUCUUCAAAAAAUAAAAUCAUUUUAAACAAGUUUUAUCCAAUCAAUCAUUUAUAUUCUGAUUUUUUUUUGGAUUUUUAUCAUGUAGAAUGACUUUUAUUUUUUAUUUUUUUUAUAUGUAUUAUAUCUUGCGCUAACUAGUUUACGCACAUUAAAUUAGAUCUCUACACUCCAAACAAGGCUUAUAAAAUAAGACUUACACCAGUAAUAGCAAGCAUAGGGAGUUAAAAUGAAGCCUAUAUAAAAAGCAUGUAUUUUAGCCCAUAUCAAUUUUACCAAUUCAAUCAUUUAAAACCAACAUGGAUGGAAUUCUAAGAGUAUAAUUUCCUCAAAACACUUAAUUAUAUUGAAUGUGUUUGAAAUUAUUUUUAAAAAUGAAUUUGAAUUUUUUAAAAAAAUCCCUUAUAUAUUAAUAAAAAAAAUACUUGAAAUUCAAGGAUAUUUUUAUAAAAUCACACUAGCAGACUCUCAAAAUCAAAAAACCACCACCAUCACCGCCUCAAGUGAUGAAUUGACGUCAAAAGAAAUAUUUUUUUUAUUUUAACCUAUAAAAUUCUCAAUAAGCUAUAGACGUCAUUGUCUUUAUAUUAUGUCUAUAUUAUUAUUGUUGUUGUUUUGUUUUUUUUAGCCUUUUCUAGAAAAAGAAGUUCGGCCUAUGGGCCUGUGUCUUGUGGGAGUUGAAGGGUCGCCCAAAACCAAUGGUUAUAAUUUACGUAAAAGAAACGAAUAAAACUCUGACGUGGCACUUUAAAGUUGAUCUACUCUCUCUAGCGUUUCUAAAGCUUGUGGAUCCCACGAGAUGGAAAGCUGAGACAGAUUUUGACAUUAGUGAAGGAAGACUCGAUUAGCUGAGUUGGAGGAGCUCCUAGCUCUUGAUUACGUGUCAACAGUCUUUCUUUUCCUCUCUUUUUUUUUUUUUUUCCAAACUUGCUUGAAAACUUUUAUAAGCAAUACAAUAUUCAAAAUUAAAAUAUAGACAGACUUAGAAAUGAAGUAAAUUAUAUUAAAAUAAUAUUUUUUAUAAAAAAAUUUCAAAACUCAAUAAAAAACUAGUUAAAUCACCGUUCUAAACUUAUCUUAAAAGUGAAAGUUCAAAUUAUACCUGGAAUAAAGAUUCUGUUUGGAAGGUGGUUGCGGUUAUUUUUUAAAUAACUUUUCGUAUUAAAAUGUAUUAAAAUAAUAUUUUUUUAUUUUAAAAAAAUUAUUUUUUAAAUCAGCAUAUCAAAACGAUGAAAAAAAUAUAAAAAAAAUUAAUUUUUUUAAUAAUUUCGAAACUCAUUGUUAUUUAUUUAUUUAUUUAUUUAUCAAAAUUAAUGUUAACACCGUAAAAUCAUGAUGAUGAUGCUGCUGCUGCGAUGAAUAUAGAACAGUUAUCUCGUAGAUCCCCGAGUCAAUAAUAGUCCUAAUUGAAAACUUCGUACGGUGGCGGGCACCAAGUUAGAUGCAUUUGCAGCAGGGGAUGGCUGGUAUCCACCGUGUCGUUUCAUCCCCCGAAAAGGAUUGCCAGAACGGCAAAGAGUUCAACAAUUCUGUAAAGGUCUGCCUUUUAGGUCUAGGUUCAGGUUUUGGGCGGUGGGCUGGCCUACCAGACGUGGAGCCCACAUGGGUUCCGUGGUCCAGCCUGCCAAUCAGGCCGUGCCACGUGAAAUGCACGUCACCCACCACGUGGGAUGAUGCUGUUGCCAUGUCAUUAUUGGAUGGGACAGGGUCAUUUGGAUGCAAAAAGAGGUGGGCCCACUGGACGAAAUUAGGGAGCUGUUGGUAGACGAUGGACGGAGGAAGCUAGGCUUUUCGGAGGCAACAUCCAGAUUGUGGUAAUCUUUUGUAACUUUAGUUAAGAGAAAGUUUUGUGUUUUUUUUUUUUUUUUAAUAUAUUAAAAUAAUAUUUAAGCAAAGCUCAAUGUUCAUUACCAAUCGGUUAGGUCGAGUGGCAAUGACCUUUGUUGGCUCAUCUAGAAGGUAACUGAGUUCAACUCAGUCCAAUUUUACCUCAUGUAUUUCGCUUGUUGUUUUGGAGGUGAAAAUAGCAUACGCUGUUCACUGAGGUUUGCGUCUUCUAGUCUUUUGAUUGGCUUCCGUUAACAUUAUAGUUUUGAAACUCGGUCUAGCCUGGUAGGUCGAUUCGGGACCUGGCCGAUCCAGAGCUGAAAUCGGGCCGGGUUGAAGAAAAAACGGGGAAAGAAAAAACCCAGUGUGACUUGGCGGGUUAACCCGGCAAGACGCGGUUGCAAACCCGUUGACUUUUGUUUUUUUUUUUGUUUUUUUACUAAAACGACGUCAUUUUGAUUUUUUAAAAAAGAAAUGACCCGGCCGACCCGGUGACCCGGUCAAAACCCGGAACCUGGACCUUGGACCGGGCCGAGUCUUAAAACUAUGGUUAACAUAUUAUAAAUCAAAAAGCUAUGCUUUUGUAUAUAUAUAUAUAUAUAUAAUUAAUGUUUAGGUGUCAUAACGUAUUUUUUGACAUCGUGUAAAAAAUAUAAUUGUUAAUAAAAAAAUCAAUACUUAUAUAUAAUAAAAUAUAAUGAAGAUCAUAUACGUUAAUAAAAACAUGUGAGAUCUCAAGCUAAUUUUUAACGUGAUAGAAAAAUAAGACAAUGUUGAAUUGCAACAUUAAAACACCAUUUUCUUAAUCUUUGUAUAAUAAGUUUUCUAAGGAAAAGUGCAAAGAAAAAAAACUAAAAAACAAUUAUAAAAGAAUGAAGAUAAAAAUAAAAAAAAUGGUAUAAAUAAAUCAAUUGUAGAGUGAUAAAUAUUCCAAGUAUAAAGAAUAAAAAAUAAUAUUUUUUAUCCAAAAAACAUAUACAAAAAAAAUUACAAGAAAAUAAAGAUAAAAAGAUUGUGAUAGAAAUGCCAAGUAUAAAGAAGAAAGAACAUAAGAAAAACUUAUUUCUAGAAAAAUAAAAAAUUACAGAUUUGUCACCGACAUAGUAAAACAAUUGAUAAAAUUUAUAAUUAUGUCAUUUUUACAAUAAAAUAUUAUUUCCUUUUAGUAUAUGUAUAAUUAAGUUAUCAUUAAAUAUUCUUCGAAGAUAAUUAAAAAAACAGUAUAUAUCAUUAUACAACUAGAAGUAUUGAUGACCAUAUUAAAGUCAUUUCUAGCCAAUCAAACAAUAAAGAAAAAAAAAAUCAGUUUAAGUCCUGAUUAGGUGAUUCCUAAUUAUAGAGGAUGAAAUCAUAAAGAUGCUACGAGGAGUUAUGAUUUCUAAAAGAUUAUUACUAAAGAUCAAUCUACUUGUUUUUAGUGGGAUAAUCUAAAGAGUUAGAUAAGAAAAUGUAAAAAGUUUUUUAAUAUGCAUUUUACUCUAAUGCAUUAAUGGGUGGAGAUAGAUUUUUUAUACCUAGAAGGAAGGAUAAAAAUAUGAUAUGAAGGGUUUUUAAUAGGUGGAGAUGAUUUGAAAAAUUAAAAAGAAAUUAACAGAGUUAUUUGUAUCAGAUUUAAUAGGAUAAUGUAUAAUAAUUCAAUAUAUUAGUACAAGAUUCAGGAGUCGAGGAGUAUGUUGAAUUAUUUAAAGAACUUAAAUCUUUGAUGAAUGUUUUAAAUUCAUCACUAUCAAAAUCCUACUAUAUUUCUAAUUUUAUAAAUGGACUCAAAGAUGCCUAUGCUUAAGAUUCUUAAACCCAUAACUUGAUAUAGACUUUUGAUCAAGCUAAAUAGAAAGAAAAAUCCAACAAUGCUUUGGCCAAUAAUAAUAAAUUCAUACCAAGAACCAACUAUUCAUAUGGUUUGGGAAAAAUAACAAGUGAUUCCUACUCUAAACCUCUUAAUCAUUAAAAAAAAAACAAAGGUGUUAUAUAGCUCAAAACAAUAGCCUAAAACCUUACAUGAGCAAAGAAAAAGGUUGAGACAGUGUUUUAAAUAUAAGGAUAAGUAUAUACUGAGACAUCGAUGUAACAUGAGAGAUUGCAUAUGAUAAAAAGAUGAGAAAAAAAAAAUGAGGAAUUUGUAAAUGUAGCUGGAGGAUACAAUAAUAGAAUAAUAGUCGAGGAUGAUAAAAUCAAAGAAUAUGGAUUGUCCUUGAAUGCAUUGGUAGAUAGCUAUACAAAUAACACAAUCAUGAUCAAAUAUUCUUGUCAAGGAAGGAACAUUACCAUUCUAAUUGAUAAUAGUAGUACACAUGGUUUUAUUGAUACAUAAGUGAUUGAAGAAAUCAAGAAAAUCAUCUAAAGGACCACUAUAUUGGCAAUGAUAGUAGCUAAUUAAGGUAUUAUGAGAUGUGAUGCUUAUAGUUGUGAGUUCAAAUGGUCCAUGCAAAGUUAUGAAUUUCAAGCUGAUUCGAGGAUAUUGAAACUUGAUAAAUAUGGUAUGGUGCUUAGAGUAUAUUGAUUAAAGAUUUAUUCACAAAUUAUAUUUUAUUUUAUUAAAAGAAUCAUUAAAAAAAAUGGCAAAAUAAUUGGGCUAAAAAGAACUGUGGAAUAAGCAAGGUUGCAAGUAAUCACAACAACUAAUGCACAUAAGAGUUUAAAAGAAGACUUGUAGAUUUUGUUAGAUAUUGUUUUUUCCAUUUAAGCUUUUGAAGCACAAAAAAAGGAGUGUAGAAUAUAAUAAUAAAGUUAUUAUUAAAAGAAUACCAAUUUAUGUUUACAGAAUCAAAACAUCUUCCAACUGCCAUGAGCUUGGAUCAUAAAAUACUCAUGAUACUAGAAGCUAAAUCAGUCAAUAUUAGACCAUACAAAAUAUAUUUUAUGUAAAAAAAAAAGAUAGAGAAAUUGGUAAAGAAGAUGUUGCAUAAUGAAAUUAUUUAACACAACUACAACCUAUUUUCUUUUUUAAUAUUAUUGGUUAAGAAGAAAUGCUAUACUAGGAGAAGAGAACCUUUAAGACUCAUUAUAGGCACUAUGAGUUGAAGGUAAUUUUAUUUGGUUUCACUAAUAUAAUAACCAUGUUCAAGAUUUAUUAUUUGUAUUUUGGAUUUUGAUUUUAAUUUCUUUUAUCUUUCGUACUUUAGGUUGUUGUUUUAGUAAAUAUAGGGUUUUCUAAUCUAUUUAAAGAUUUUAUAAAUUUCUUGAAGAGACAACCAUUCUAUACUUAUUUUUAGAUAAUAAAAUUAUAAAUAUAAGGUUCACAAUUGCAUUCUUUUUAACUCAUUAAACUUGUAUGUUUUCUGUGUUAUUUUUGUCCUAAGAUGAACCUCUUAUAUAAACUGAUUUAAUAAAACCUCUUGGAAAAAAAUUGAGAGAAAUUGACAAGAACAUUGUACAUUUGUACCUUCAGGCUUCAAAGUUACACACAUAUACAAGAAUCUGUACUAUUCAACGUUCACUGGAAUUUUUGGAUUGAAGAGUUCAGUGGGUUCCUCUCACAAGCCCAUAACCUGACAGAUUGAAGUAUUGAAACAUUGGGUUCAUCACAUUACAUUUUUUUUUAAAAAAAGAAGAAGAUUGAAACAAUAUAAAUGGCCCAUGCAGGUUUCGAACCUGCGACCUUCGCGUUAUUAGCACGACGCUCUAACCAACUGAGCUAAUAGGCCAAUCCGAUGGGUAUCUUCUAAUUAACUGUACUGAAAAUAAGUGAAUAGGUUGGAUCUAAUCCAAUUCUGCAAGCAUAUCAUUUUAAAAAUCCAUCAACUCUGUGUCCCCAUUCUGUUUCUUCUUCUUCAUCUUUAGUUCAUACCUAAUUCAGAUAACAUGGCUAGAAAUUUGAUAUUCAGUAAGCAUCCCUCUUUUUAAAGAAAGUUAAAUGCCCUAACAGCAUCAGUGGUGAGUGCAGGCCAGUUCUUUGAAUGUUCUGCUUCGUCUACCUUGCUAAGAUGUCACAAUUAUAUAUCCAGCAGCUCCUAUACUGGAACAAGUGAUAGAUACGGCCAUGCUAGGCUAUCCUUCUAGCUUUUUGCCAAACCCUUGAAAUUAUUUGUUGUGGUUGGCAUAAUGGGUGGUCCAUAUAACGAUUGAUGAGUAUGUUGGCUCCAUUCGUUAACAUUAUGCCAUUAGAAAAGGGAACCCACUGGAAUCUUAAAUACUCCAAUAAAGAUCACAACUGUUGACGGGAUGUAUAUAAUGAUUCAAAUCCAAUAACAAUAAAGGGGUGAAGAAGAUUCAGGCAUCAUGUUUUUGACAAUGUUUAUAAAUUUGAAGCCUUUAAUCUUUGCCAGUUUUAAAGCCAGCGGUGUUUCUGUUGACGGUCAGUGCCUUGGAAAUUAAUUGUUCGUAGAUGGGUUUUAAUAUCAAACAAAGAACUCAAGAUCAGGCAUUCAACACAACGAAUAGACUGGUAUCUGCUAAGAAGGUGGAUAGAACACAAGUUUUUUCUGCUUUCUAUCCAUUAAUAACUGGAUCAGUGUCACCUAUUAAGGGUUUUUUUCGCCUUGGAUUCGAGGUAAAGUAGUGAUGAUAACUGGAAAAGCAGCGUUAAUUAAAGAUAUAGAACUGGUUAGGUGAAAAGCACAUGAAGAAAUCAAGAUUUUCGACAUUUACAGGCAAGCAAUUGUUUUCCACAUCACAAUUACAAUGCCAUAAAUUUCUCAACAUCAUUUUUACAAGCAUUUGGGGUCAUAAAGUUCCAAAUAUCAUAAAACAAAAUAAUUGCUUCCAUAUACAGCUAUGAGAACCAAGAAAAUGACAAGAGUACUCUAGUUGAAUAGAAAUAAAACUCUCAAGUUCACAUACAUAAAUCAAAUGACAUGUAUAAUCAAAAAAAUGGUUUUAAAUCAAAACAAAUGACAUAAUCCAGAUAUACCCUCUUCUCAUAAAUUAAUACACAACAAUGAAAUCCUGCCUUACAAAAACAGGACCAGCACACCUGCAAUAGCUAGAACCAAUUGACUCCAAAUACCUACACCAUUGAUCCUAUAAGAAGAAUUUGGGGGGGACUUUCCUGGGGCGCUCCCUGCUCCUGCUGAGUCGUCAGAUGUUGGGGAAUCUGCAGUAGGGCUAGUGUCAGGAGCUGGUGCUGGAGCUGGGGUUGGAGGUAUAUUAGUACCAAAGAUUGCCUCAGGAAGGAGGACUUUGUCAACUUGAUAGAUUGCAACAGGAUCAGUUGAAUGCACACUACUACUAACUUUAGUUUUAGACCAUCCUGAAUCAAGGUGCACGGUCCCAGAUGUAUCGGUGAAAUUCAAAGCAUAUCCUCCUGCACCAGCAAAUGUGCUGACAGGGCUCACUUGGCUAAGGUUCUUGAAAUCAGACAACGAGUAAUAAUGUGGCAAGGCAUGAAAAAGAAUGAGUUGCUUGAGCUGGUCUUGAGUUAGGUUUGACAAAGAAGCCUUCUUGAGAUUUUUGAAGGCAUCAUCUUUUGGUACGAAGAUGGUAAUGCCUUCAUCAGUGUUGUUGGCUUGGUUUUGAAAGGUGUCAAUGACUUUAGUGGACUCAAGGUAGUUAAGGAAGUUGUGGAAUGGGCCAGCAACAGAGAGUAAAUCAGUGAGGUUAACGUAAGGAGGUGAUGGUGCUGGUGCUGGGGAUGGAGUUGGGGUUGGUGCUGGAGGACUAGCUACUUUUUGAGCAUAUGCUAGUGGAGUGCACGAAAACAGCAGUGUGCUGCUAAGCACAAUAAUCAUAGAAAACUUCAUGGUUUAUCUUCUCUAAAUCCCUGCAAGAACCAAAUCCCAUCAUUGAUUAUAUCUCAAUUUAUGAGCACAAAUCUAUCGAUGGCAAACCAAUGCGAAUCCACAGCAUGAACAGAAAAACUAGCUAAUAAUUGGAGAAAUCAAACCCAGCAUUUCAGAAUCCAGGUGAGAUUCCCAAAUCCACAAAAUCCGACUAACCAAAUCUUUGUAAUGACCAUGGAAAGCCAUGGCUAUCACUACUUCAACAACAACAACAACAAAAAAAAAACAAGAUCCUUUUCAACUCAUCUAUAGAUAGUUUUAAAACAAUUACUAUAGCAAAACCAACCCUCUCUUCUAGGCACAAAUAAGAUAUUAAAUUAAUUGAGAAAGGUUGGAAGAGGAUCUAAUCUAAUGACAGAGAAAUGAAGCAAUGACUGAUGACAUAAAAAAUGCAAAUGCCAAUGCCGUAGAAAAGAAACAUCAUGCACAAAUCACAAGGAUGAAAUACCAUACCCAACUUGCUAAAUCCCCAGAAGAUCAAGUAUUCUUGCAAAAACCAAGAUCAAAACCCCAUUAAAAGUACAAUACAUCUUGUCCUUUUUAAGGUAAAAGAGAGAGAGAAACAGUGCAAUCUAUGUUGCUUUCCUUUCUCUUUCGUGACUGGAAGCUAGUAAAAGCAAGUCAAAACAAAUUCUGUUGGACAAAAAAGAAAACCACAGCCACCACACAAUGUAGUUCAACAUAAAGCAAAGAAACAGAUCUAGAUCAGCUCAUCCCAAUAGAAACAGACCCUUUAGCAUAUUUAACCCCCCCCAAAAAAAAAGGUUAAGAAGUACUGACCUGAGCAAGAAUUCAGAGAGAAAUUGUUUUGGUUUUGGCCAGGGAAUGCCAAAGUGCCAACGCUAAUGCUGCAACGCAAAAUGUAAUGUGUUGCACUAUAUAAAGAUGGAUUUUAACUAGAAAAGAGAUUAAAAAAAAAAAGGGGGUGGGGGCGGUAGCAGCUGGUGAUGGUUCAAGAGAUGAAUGUAAAGGUACAAAUCAGAAUACAUUUAAGUAAUUGUAGAAUGUACAUGGGCGUGAGGAGAGGAGGUGAGGCUGUCUAUUAUUCUUUAUUAGAUGUUGUUUUCACUUUCCAGACUUGGAUGGUUCUUUCUUACCGGGCAAAACAAAGCAUGCUUUCUUGGAAAUCUUUUCAAGGUAAGAAGAAAUAAAAAUGGGUGGCAUUUCUUAAUCAUGUAUCUGCUCAUUAUAUAUAUAUAUAUAUAUAUAUAUAUAUAUAAUUCUUGAGACACCCACCUUGCACUCUACCCUAACAUUAUCAUAAUCUCUCUCAAUUUAUCAUCUCAUGAUAAAUCAGCCUCCUAAAGGAUUUUGAUUUCAUAGAUGGGUUUGGUAAUGCACUGAUACUAAUUUUUCUUUAUUUCGGGAUGUAGUCAGAAAUAGUUUAUUGGCCGUCGUGAUUUUUUCUAAGCAUAAAAAAAAUUAAUAAAACAUGAGAUUAGAAAAAAUAUAUAUAUGAAUUUUUUAGCCAACACACAUUGUAAACCCUCGUGUAAACAUAAGAUCAAAAGUAAUAAAACUAGAAAAAAUAAAUAAAUAAAAAUAAAUAAAUAAAUAGUACAUGUGAUGUGUAAAGGGAAGGUAUGACAUCUAUAAAUAAAUUUAAAGGUAUUGAUGAAAUUAAAAUGAGGACUAGAAAAUUUAGUUUCAAAUUCAUAACGAUAGUAUAAACAGUAAUAGGUUUCAAUAGAUAGAAGAAUUAGAAAAAAUUAAAAUAAAUGUGUUUUGAAAGUGAUAAAAUAAUUCCAAAGAGUUAUAAUGAAAAUGAGGAAUUAAAUUUAAGAAAUAAUUACAUGAAAAAGUGUUGGUGUAAACCCCGGUUAAAAAUCAGUAAACUUACCGUGAAACAAUAAAAAAUCUGUAAACAAAAUAAAUUGUGAGAAGAAAAAAUAAAUAUAUUUUGAAAUAAUGAAAUGGUCCCAAGGAUUUAGUAAAAUGGUUAAUAUGACCUAUGUAAGGGUGGAAUAAGAGAAUUCAGAUUUUUGAUAAAAAAAUCAUAAACUAACUAGUUUUACGCUAUCAAGCAUAACUCUUCAUUUGACAGUCAGAUUAGACUGAAAUUUUACUUAAAGUCUCCUAACAUGUUUUUCUAUCCUGGGUUAAAUUUCAUGCCAAUCAAAGUUUGGUAAGGCCAUACAAAAUUAUCAGUGGCUGAGAGAAAAUCCAGAAAAAUAGCAUGUUAAUAAUAAAUAAGGGCAAAAAUGCAAUUGGCCAGACAAUUCCAGCUUCUUCUUCUUUUUAAAUGGUUAGUCAUUUUUGGAGGGGAGAGAGAGAGAUCUUUUUCUUCAUUUUUGUUCAAAUCAUCCUUGAAAAAUCACCAUAAAUGAGAGUUUUAGGGAGAAAAUGGAAGAAAAGAGGGAAAAGAAUGGAUCAUUGACAGAAAUUUAUGAGAAAAAGAGAGAAAUUUUUUGAUAGAGAGAGAAAGUAGAAGAUUAAAGAAGAAAAAAGGUAAUAGAAGCUUUGGACCAUGGAAAUUGUCAUUAAAUUGAAUUUGAAAGGGUAAAAAAGCUUUCCCUUACAUUUAUAUUCAAGUUUUAGUUGAUUUUGAUUAUGUGUUAAAUAAGUUUGAAAAAAGGGUUGGGGUUUGUUGAAUUAUGGAUGAAGAAAUGAUAUUUGUAUGAGAAAUAAGUUGUUAGAUUAUGCAAUAUAGUUGUUUAAGUGGAAAUCUUAAGAAAAAAAUUGAAAUAAACCAAUAGGUGUUUUGACCAUAAUUGGUUGGCCAUGGUAGAAGAAUUUAGAGAGGGAUUGUUGAUGUAAUUUUAGUGAAUUGGUGUGUGUUAAUGUGAUUGUAUAAGUUUAUGAGAUUAUAAUUAGGUAGAAAUCUUAAUGAUAAUUGUAAAUUUAAUGUUGUGUGAAUGUUUAGAAUGUGUAAAAUGAAAUUAUUGAAAAUUUAGUAUGGUGAAUUGUUACUUAAAUGAUGGUAUAAUACAUUUGGUGUUAAAAAGAUUAACAUGAUGAAGUAAUAAUUUGAGAGGAUGGGAAGAGUUAUACGUUUUGGGUUAAAUUGUUAAUAAAAGUUUUCUUUAUGAAACUUGAGAAAUAUUGGUUCCUUGAUUAAAUCAAAAUGUUGUGAUGUUGUGUAAUGGUAGGAUUUUGAAUAAGAUAAGUUUGAGAUUAUUAUAUAAAUUAAAGGGUUCAAGCAAUUAAAGGUAUGUUGCAAUAUGAUGAGAUAUAUUAGAAUGAGAUUGAAUAAAUGUUAAGGAAUUGUGAGUGGAUGAGGUAUCAUUAAAAUAAUAUGUAUGAAUAUUAAGAAUAUUCAUGAGUGUAAGUUAAAAUAAACUUAUUGAGAAGGUUGAACUAUUGUAAAUACGUUAUGAAUGAUUGAGAAAUUGUGUAAUAGAAAUUGUAUUGAAGAAAUUGAAAUCACUUGUAAAGGUUCAACCAUUAGUGAUCAACCAUGUGAGAUUUAGUUGGAAGUCGUGUGUUUGAUUUGGACUAUAAAUGCUAUGAUUAUAAAUUGUAUAUUAGGAUUUAGUUAUGAUCAUUUGAGUUAAGAUAUGAGGAAUAAAUUUUUAUCGGUGUGUAGAAGGGAGAAUAAUAACAUUGCAUAUAAGGUGUUUGAUAAAAUGUAUGAAAGAGAUGAAUAAGCUAGUGCUUAAGGUGUGGAUAAAACGACAUCAAGGGUGUUAAAAUUAAAUAAAUGGAUAGUUAUGUAUGUGUUUGGCCAAGCAGAAUGCCGAAAUUGUAUAGUUGAAUUUUAAGUAAAUGGAUGUUAAUAGGUGUGUAAAGUAGAUAUAAAUAAAAGUAGUGUAUCUAAUAAAUCAUUUUUUAGAAUGAUACGAUGAAUUAUUUUGUACCGACUUAGGAGAGACUCUAGAAAACUUACCAUGGAUCGGAAAAACAGGACCUACGUGUGAAUCAGGUAAGUGUCUUACAUCUUGACAAUUUCAUUUGUAUCAUUUAGAUAUUUUUUUAAACUACAGUUUCUUUAAAGAUGUAACUCAUGAAUAUUCAAUGAAAUAUUAAAAAGAAGGAAAAAAAUGUUAAUUUAAUUUAGUUACCUAAGGUAAUUCAGAAGCUAAUGAUAUCAAUGUGAUACAUUGAUACUAGUAUUUACUUAGAUGAAAGCAUAUUGGUUAAGGAUUUGAUUAGUCAUUUCUAUAAUGAAGACUAAUAAUGCCAAUGAAGUUUCAUUGACGUUGGCAUUAACGUGAUGACAUUAAAGUGUUGAAAAUGAACUUGAUUAGCUUUCCUGAUUCAGAAAGCUAAUGAUAUCAAUGAAUUGUAUUGGUAUCAACAUCUCUUAAACUUGAUUAGUCAUUCUCAGUUUGGGAGACUAAUGAUACCAAUAGAUUGUAUUGGUAUCGACAUCUCUUAAAUUUGAUUUGUCGUUCUUGGUUUAGAAUACUAAUGAUACCAAUGGAUUGUAUUGGUAUCAGCGUCUUUUAAAUUUAAUUAGUCAUUUCUGGUUUGGAAGGCUAAUGAUAUCAAUAGAUUAUAUUGGUAUCGACAUCUCUUAAACUUGAUUAGUCGUUCCCGUUUUGAGAGACUAAUGAUACCAAUGAUUGUAUUGGUAUCAAAAACUCUUAAACCUGAUUAGUCGUUCCUGAUUUGAGAGACUGAUGAUAUUAAUGAAUUGUAUUGGUAUCGAUAUCUCUUAAAUUUGAUUAGUUGUUCCUGAUUUGGGGAGCUAAUGAUACCAAUAAAGUUCAUUGGUAUCAGUAUAAACAUGAAAGGAAUAUAUAAAAAAAGGAUUUAAUUAGCUAUUCCUGAAAAAGAAAAUUAGAAGGAUAAUAAUGUCAAUAGGUUUGUUGGCACCGACAUGUACUAGAAAAUUUGAUUAGAUAUCUGAUGGAAUAGAAGCGAAUGAUACUAAAGGAAUUGGUGUCAGCAUACCAUUAAUUAGCCACACUUGAGGUGAUGGCUAAUGAUAUCAAUUUAGGAAUUGAUGUCGACAUCGAUCAAUUGACCAAGUUUAUAGGUGACAGAUGAUAAUAUUAUGUUAGAUGUUGAAAAUUCAUAUAAAAGACAAAGGAAUAAUAAGUAAAUGAGAUAAAAAGAUUUUACUUAUCAGCACGAGAUAAAGGAAAGAGAACUUAGCUAUAUUUAUCUGAUGUAAUAUUUUUAGUGAAAUUAUUUCAUUUGUUUAUCAACACUUUAUAAUGUGUUAUAUAAUUAUUUGUAUUUGAUAUUGGAUGGUUUGAAGUUAUUGAAAUAUAGUUGAUGUAGAGCAUGAUCUAGGAUCACUGGAUUAAGGGAUUGAGACUAUGAGUACAAGUAAAACAGGUUUAAGUCGAUAAUUUAAGAAUGAUCCACUUUAAAGAGAAACUUUGUGGAAAUCUCUGUAGAGAUAAUAAUGACCUUAAAAGAUUUUGUUUAUGGUAUCAUGAAUUGAGGUUGUUAUGUCUGAACUAGAUUUAAAGGUUGGGGUUGUUGUUGCAAUUAUGGCUAAUAGACCUUGGAUAUCAUAAGAUACCAUUUAUAUGAAAUUUAUUGUGUAUAAAGGAUAUUAAGACAAGUGUUAUUAAGAAAGGAGAUAAACUGAUGAAGACUUACAAAUGUAUUUUUGACUAUCAAUUUUAAAAAAGAGAUAAAAGGUGAAAAAGAAUGUGCUAAUUCAUAAUAUGAUUAUUGUUAGUACAUUAUUGAAAAUCUUAAAUUUGAAUGAAUUCUUAGGAUCAUAAUAUCCUCGAUCAUUAACAUGUUUGUGGAGCGUUUAAAUAAAGAAAGAGAAGAGAUAUGCAAAUGUGUGUGAGAAGAUCACGAGUGUACAUAGAGAUAAUAUGGUAGUGAGUUGAAUAAGUAUUCCUUGUUAAGUGAAAGGAAAUGUUAGAGGUAUUGGUUAUGAAUACAAGUGGUUUAUAAUUCAUAUUAUUUAUGUGUUACAAGCAUGGUUGUGAAAGGUUGAAAUAACAAUGUGUAAUUCAGAGUAAUUGGACUAUGAAAAAAAAUUAAUGCUAUAGUUAGAAAAAGAAAAAGAAAUAAAGAUGUCAUUAUCCAAAGUAUUUGUUUUACAAAAAAGACAAAAAGGAUAUUGCGUAUUGUUUUAGAUAAAUGUAUGUUUCAUGAAUAAAAUGCAUAAUUUUUUAUAUUAAAAUGAUUAAUUUUAUAUAUGUAUAUUUCAGGUCCAUCACAUUUGUCAUUACAGUAAAAGUAUGGUAGUUAGGUUUUUAUAGCCAUCUUAAGUAGAGUUUUGUUGUUUUUAUGUUAUGUAAUUAAUUGAAAUGUAUGUGUAUUUUUUUGGAGUUUUUAUCUAGUGAAAUAUUAAAUUACUAGUUAAGUUGGAUUUUCUUUAUACAUGUAUGUUAUAAUGAUAUAAGGACCUCAUAGAAACAUAUAUAUAUAUAUAUAUAUAUAUAUAUAUAUAUAUAUAUAUAUAUAUAUAUAUGACAAUUAAUGAUGGAUUAAGAGUAUGCCUGGGGCUAUUUAGGUACCGGUUGUUAAAUGUGAUAUUUAUGAGGGAUUAUAUAGGAAUUUGACAGGCUAAAGUUAUGGAUAAGAGUUCUGUGUGUGUGUGUAAAGGACAUUAUAGUGAUGUAGACAAUGAAUGAUGGAUUAAGGGUAUGUCUGGGGCUACCUAGGUACUAGUUGUUGAAUGUGAUAUUUAUGUGAGAUUAUACAGUAAUUUGACAUGAUGAGGUUAUGGAUAAGAGUUUUGUAUAAAUAAAACACUGCUAAAAUUUUAUAAAAAUGAACUAAGUAGAGACAUAUAAAUACUAUGUUAAUGUAAUGUAGGAGAUAUGAGUAUUUUGAUUUUUUUAAAAAAAUUACUCAAAUUCUUACGUGAUUAUUUAAAAUGAGAAUAAAUGCAGCCAAAAGUUCAGCAUGUUAUAUAUAUAUAUAUAUAUAUAUAUAUAUAUAUAUAUAUAUCAUUAAUGAAUUGGAAUAAAUAUCAUUUACAGAUCAUUAAUAAGAAACAAAUAUCCCUUACAGAUCAUUAAUGAACAUUAAUGAGACCUUGAGAGAUAUUCUAUACAACUACAGGUUUGAGAGAUGAUUAUUCCUGACAUGAAUAGAUCAUAUUAAUAAUUUAAAGAUAGAACCAUAUAAUCAUAACAUAGAUCUACAAGACUUAUUGGGUCUGACGUAUAGACUAACUUAAAAGAGAUAAGUCUGGCAAUUCAUCAGACCUAUGAUACCCUGGGCUCAACUCAUGAUUGAACCCAAAUAUACUGGGUCUGACAACUUACCAGACCUAUAGUACCUUGGGCUUAGCUCAUGGUUGAUCCCAAGUAUGUUGAGUCUAGCAUCUUGCUAGACCCACGGUGCCUUAAGCUCAAUACAUGGCCGAAUCCAAGUAUAUUAUGUUUAGUAACUCGUUAGGCCCAUGGUGACUUAAGUUCAGCUCAUGGAUGAACUCAAGUAUACUAGAUUUGACAACUCACCGAACCCAUGAAGACUUGAGCUCAGCUCACAGCCAAACUCAAGUAUAUUAGGUCUGAUAAUUUACUAGACCCAUAACACCUUAGGCCCAUCUUAUGACUAAAAUCAAAUACAUCGGGGUUGAUAGAUUGUUAAACUAACAUUUAAUUAGGUUAUCAUCCUAUAAUAGAUUUGGAUUAUUUCAAAGCAUAAAAUAAUAUUGGAUAAAAAUAUAUUUACUCAUUAUAAAGCCAAGAUGAAAUUAAUAGAUUCAUCUAACUUUUGGAAAAAAAAAAGAAAAGGGAAUCCAUUAUUUUAAUUUUCUAUGUUAUUGUGAUUAAAAUUUAGUUAUUUUUUCUUCUUAAAAACACAUUUUAAAGCCACAAUCUCCCAAAACCAAUCAAAGUAUAAUUACUGUAUUUUUCAAUGCUUAGAAUAAAUCCUUCAAUUUCAUUUGACUACAAGACUCGGGUCCCACUUAAAUUGUUGAUUCUCAUGAGUCAUGACCAUGUUGAAUUUUGGUUUCAAGUAACACAAUAAAAAAAUUAAAGAAUCAUUUUAUUUCUAUUUAUAAAAUUAUCAGUUUUGGUUUGGUUUAAAAAUCAAUUUAAGUGUAGAUUCUCGAAGAAAAGAACAUUGAAUUACAUCUCAUCAAAUUGGUCAAAAAUAAGAACAAAGCAAAUUAGGAAAACCCAAGAUAUGGAAACGAAAGUGAGAGAGUUUUUUGGAAUCAAAAUAUCGUAGGGCAUGGCUUUGGUGUGAAAUAAUGGAGGGUGAGGGUGGUGCCGUGGUGGUCAAGAGUGAGGGCCCGCCAUGAUUUUUGGGCCAACCAGCAUUUCGCUGUCCCAGCCCCUAAAUUCCACCCUUGACCCUCAAAAUUCAAGGAUCUCAUUUUUUACGAGGGAAACGUCAUCGUUUCUUCGAUAUUUUCCACCGACACUUAUUUGUGCUUAGUGUACAAGUUGACCAAAAUGAAACGAAGGAAUUAACUCAAAUAUUAUUAAUAUGUUCAUCACAUGAAAUUCAUCUUUCAUAUAACCAAACCUCACAUUGUUUUUCUUUAGAGAUUUUCUUUUCCAUUUCGUAAAUAAUAAUUCCGUAAUAUAAAAAAAAAUGUUAUUUAUAGAAGAACAUAAAUAUAACUAUCAAAAUAAAUAAUAACAGUUAGUUGAUUAACAGAUUUAAAAUUUUGGGUCUCAAAAGCGUUUUAAAAAAAGAUUAAUUUUUUUUUUAUUUUUUCUUUGCUUCAAAUUAAUAUUUUUUAAUAUUUUUAGAUUAUUUUAAUGUACUAAUAUCAAAAAUAAUUUUUUUAAAAAUAAAAAAUAUAUUAUUUUGAUAUUUUUAUGAGUGAAAAACCCUUUGAAAAACAAACGCAACCAUACUUCCAAACAUGCCAGCAAGUUCCAACUAUGAGUUGGGUUUUUAUUCUUAAAUGGUUUUUUUUUUUUUUUUGCAAUUCAAACUUGAGAAAUUAAACAAAUUAAUGAAGCAUCUCAAGUGAUGAUUUAUUAUGACCUGUAUCCUUAUUAAUAUUUAUUAAAGCACGAGGCAUGUGAAGUCAUGGGGAUUUGAGGACAUAUCGGGCAAGUUUAAUCUCCUAAUCAUAACUUAAUCAACAUUGACUUCGGGUUAGGAAGGUGGGAUUUGUCUUGUGAACGUAGAAGGAAAAAAAACCCAUAAAGAAGAUUAUUCUGUCUUGUGCUUGGUGAAGGUCUUGUGGCAAUAUCAAGACCGAUCGACCAAAUUAGUUGGUUAGACCUUGAUUUUCGCACAUGGGUUUUUUUUUUUUUUGUUUUUAAGAAAUCAUGGCAUUACAAUUAAACUAAUCAAUAUCAUUAUCAAGAGGGUUAGCGAGCUAAAUAUACAUUAUUCGGUGGAGGGUCUCUUCAUGUGUUCAUCAACUAAUCACGACCUUACAUAAUCUGAUUCCACCCAUCUAUACAGUUAAAUUCAAUUUCUCAGUUAACAACUUGUUUAAGAACUAAAUCUAACACUCGAAAGAGUAGCUUAAAAGUUACUUGCCAUUCCCAACAAGCUCUCUCUUUCUCCUGUGAGAAUAAUUAUUGCUAGCAAGAAGAAUGUUGGGGAAAAAGAAAAGAAAAGUCCAGGGCCAAGUUGGAUUCUUGACAAGCAGGGAAAGGCUAAUAUCAACCUGGAGCCAGGGUGGAGGUAGAGGUCAGAUGGGAGGUUACUUUCAACUGUGUAUAGCAGUUACGGUGGCCCUUUCAAGCUCAUAUGCUCCAUAUUUUGUUGUUGUUGACGAGUCUGGUGGCCCUUCUAGAGGUCGGUUUUGAUUCUGAAACUUGCAUGGUGAAAAAUAGUGUUAAUUUCAUUUCGUGAGGGAGUCAUAGAGUAUUAUUAUAUGUUGAUGUCGCCGAGGAAAGGAAAGAAAACAAUAUUGUAUAUUGAAUUGGGUUGGGUAGAUUCUACUUAUCAAAGAGCUCACUGAAGUCUCACAGCCCAAGACUGAUAGACCCAAAUAAGAGAUUACCAACCCCUAAAACAAAAUACCAGCCCACCUAAAAUCAUUACAUUUUGAAAUAUUAAUGUCUUAUUCCUUAAAUCGAGGAUUUUAAUGUCUUUUCAAGAAAACUCUUUUUUUUUUUUUGAAAAAUUAAUGUCAUUUAUUUCUUAAGCAUUUUAAGAAUAUUUUUCUUAAUCGAGGAUUCUAAUAAAUAAAGAAAAAGAAAAGAAUUGAGGAGGUUUACAAAAAUUAAAGCAAGUACAAUAUUCUAGCCAUGCCUGAAAGGAAUUUAAAUAGACACGUACAAUCAAAGCCAUCAUCUCCAUGACUAUAAAAUAUUCUCGUGACUCCUAAUUCAUAUAUAUAAACAUCGAGUAACCUGAGUUACACAACCUACUGCAGAAAUGGAGAAAAGGCAAGUACCUUAAAGACAUGCCAAGCUUUCAUUUAUUAAAAAGAAAAUUACCAUUUGCACUUUCUUCGUCUCUAUUGCUGUGAGAUAUCUGGCCACAGACAUGAUUGCAAGAGGUUAAUGGAACUAGAGACAACAAUUAAACAUGGCGUGAAGAUCAGGGAAGACAUGGAACUAGUAGUUUAAGAAUUAUAACUGGGUGAGACAGAUGUGUGAAAAGGUUGUUGGAAGAAUGAUCGAUCAUUCAAGUAGCAGCCCAUUCUUUUCGAAUGCCAAAGGUGUAGUUGAUCUCCAAGUAGCACUUGUUAUCAUCAUCAAAAAACUGAAAGAAACAGAGAUGGUUAGGACAAAUUAAAGGGAGAUGCCAUAUUGUGAUUUUGCAUCAGAGUACUGUUUACUAGCAGAUUAUUAAAAUGAAGAUCUCUUUCUUCUUUUUGAGAUUAUAUUCAAAGAAAAACCUCAAAAAGUUUAAAACUAACCUUCGACCUUGCAGAGUAUGAUCCUCUAGCAAACAUGCCCGAGGGUGUGGUCUCCUCUGGAUUAACAUGCGUGUAAGCCUCUGGCUGAGGACUGUAGGUUCCAAGCAUUUCUUUUGUGCUGUCCACUGAGUCAACAAAGACUGAUUAUAAGGGGGGAAACGUUCAAGUGUUUGGAGCACAGGUUUUGGCACGAGUCAGGAUGUAGAUAGCUCACCCUUGACGCCAGUUUUCCAAACAGUAUUGGUGUACUUGAGGCCAGACACAAUGUUAUUACUGACUUGGAAGGAGAAUUUCAAGCUAUGGGGACUGCCUUCUUUCAAUGUAAACCACAAGCCUUUGGGCUUCCCAUUCUCAGGAAUAGAAAGUACGAUGUCUGGUCUUCCAGGAGAGAGGAUCGAAAGAUUAAGAAAUUUCACAUCUGGUUCAAGCGUUUCUGCAAUAAUGAAAAGAAAAACAAGAUUAUUUAGAGGAUUAAAUAAAAAAAGAAAAGGAAAAGAAUUCUGUUCAAAAUUCUUCAUUAUCUUUGUUGGAACAUGAGCAACUCUAGCUAACAGAAUAUGGCACAAGAAUUCGAUCGGCAUACGCACAAGGAAAGGGAUUCAAAAUUCUCUGCAUGAACAUGUAACAUUAAUUAUAGAAAUGAAAGAAUUAACAGAAACCAAGAUAUAUUUAAAGAAUUUCAGAAGUUAGAAUCCAACAAACUCGCAUAAUUUUAGAUAAGGAAAAAGAAAAUAUGACGACAUGCAUGCACCUCCAAUGUUGUUCAAAUCCACACUCCCAAGAAGCUGCUCCUUCCAUUUCCUCAAGCUCUCAUCAUCCUGAACUUCCAAAAUCCAUGCACCAAUAUAUGAAAAAUGAAUUAACAAAUGCAUUUUCAUAACUAAAAAUGGAACAUGAAAUAAUAACAACAACAAAAGAACAAACCUUGUCUUUUUCAAGCUGUUCUUUGAGGGUGUACUGAGGACCCAGCUGAAGUUUGUUGGUUCCGUUCUCGUCAUCUUCCUCUUCGUGAUCAGUCGCAUACAUAGAGGUCUCACUCUCACUCAUCUGCCUUCCUAUCCUCACUCCACCAUCAUGAUCCUCGUCACGUGUUUCCAGAACUCCACUUUUCUCUCCUCCUUCCUUCUUCUUCUUCUUCUUGUCGUCAUCAAACCCCAUAUUUCUCAAACUUGAUGUAGCUCCAAUAGCCAAAGACAUCAACUUUAAGAUCUAUAACAAUGCACUACAAAUUUAUAAACUUUGAACCCAAAAAAGAAGAAGAAACGACGAUAGAAAGAUUACUGGUAAGAAUUUGUUAUAUCGAAGGAAGAAAGAAAAAAGACUGAAGAGAAUCCAAAAUGGGAGCAAAGUUAAUUUAUCACUUGACUUUUGCCGCGUCGAAGAAAAAGAGGCAAGAAAAGGCCAAAAGAUAUUUUUGUGCAGACUCCACCUAACGAGAGACAAAUAAAAGACCCACAAUCCACAAACAAAAGCUCAGCAAAGACAAAAAGAAAAAGAAAAGGAAUAACUAGGUUUGUCUUGUCUCCUGGCUUUUCUUGUCCUUCUUUUUUCUUUCGGUUCGGGUGGAUUGUUGUUGAAUCUCAAAACAAUUUGAGAUAGCUCGAGAGAGAGAGAGAGGCAAAAAAGAUUGGGAAUUCGAUUUGAGGUAGCUGAGAAAAGGUCAUGGGGUGAUCCGAAAUAUCAGAAAGAAGGUGAAAGUCACUAUAUUCUGUAAAGGGACAUGGUAGGUCGACGGAUUUUAAUGAAGCACAGUCUCAGCCUAGGAUUGAGGGUGAUCUUAACUGUCACUUUUGACUCUUUCUUUAAAUAUCUAUGCAAAUAAUCUAACAAGAAAAGAAAAACUUACUAGCAGUCAAUGGACCGUGAUUGGUGUCUUCUAGUUGUUUUCGUUAAUUAAUGAUGCCAUGCAUGCAUUUAUUAACUUCCAAUCCUCUUUUUUUUUUUUUUUCAAUGAUUCAAGAAAUUCUCAUGUCACUUUUACAUAUCAAAAUUAAGUUAAUCUUUCUAGUACAAUUAAAAAAAAACUCAUGACCUUCUCUCGCAUAGACUACCACAAAAUCAUAGUUAUCAAAUCCGGUUUGAGGUUGACACAACCAAGAAGCUGGGUCCCGGGUCACAAGGGUUGACCAGGGUCAACCUGAAAAUUUUUUUAAAAAAAAUUUAAGAUUUUAAUAUUUCAUAUGAAGAAAUUAAGAAACAAUCCAUGUGGAUAUAUACUAAAAAAUUAUUUCAAAAGGUUUUUUAUCCCACAUUAAAAAAAUAUUAUCUUAUCCUUUUAAGUUGAAAUAUUUAAAUCAAAAUUUUUUUUUAUUUCACGUUAAAAAAACACAAUGUUUUUCUUGUGAACAUAAAGUAAAUAUAUUAAUGGACUUCAAAUUUCACAUUGAAAAAAUAAAACUUCUUCUAGUAUUUAUAUAGUGAACUUUGAUAUGAGUUAGUAAACCCGGCCAGGCCCUGGGUUAUCCGGGUCCCGGGUCAACCUACCGGGCUAGGCCGGGUCUGAUAACUAUGCACAAAACAACAAACAAAUACAACAACAACAAAAAAACAAGCAUUGAAAAUCAAAAUAGAUUCAAGGGAAAAUUUACAUUUGUGGUCGAAACGCCACCAUUUUCUCUCUAAAUAAUCUUUCCUAUAAGUUUCUCUCUCUCCCUUCUUGCACUUUAUCUCUCUGCUCCUUUCUCUCUCCUCUCUUGCAUCAUAUGACCUUUCUCUGUCCUCACACCUCGGGGAGGAAUAUGAUUAGUGAUUGUGAGAUCUCUCUCGCCUAUCUACCUUCUUUUCUCUUUUUUAAGAUCUUUCGCGCUUAGUAUCAUCGUGCCUAGAUGAUUUAUGAUGGUUACGAUGGUGAGAUUCUUUGUCCAAUUGGUUUUUGUGGUGGUCACAAGUGAGUUUGAAGGAGCAAUCUAUUGUAAUCAAGGGUUUUAAAUUGUUAAUACUCUCUUAUCUCAUUCACUCUAUUUCUCAAUUUACAAAAAAGAAGACAAUGCAAAGAACUAAAAGAUUUUGUUACUCUCUUAAUCCCACUCACUUUAUUUCUCGAUUAGUAAAAAAGGUAAGCAAAAAUGGUGCAAGAAUUGAAGAGCAACUUCAGUGUUUAUAUGAAUAGUGAUUACCACCCUAGUUCUUUUAGUUGUUUAGCAAGAGACAGUGCAAAGAUAGUAUAAGAAUUGAGAAGUAGCUUCAUUGUUUAUAUGAGCAGUGAUUGUUACCAAAUUCUUUUAAUUGUUUAGUUAACUAGAGAUGAGGCUUUGUCACACGUUAAACUUGAAUAGAGAGGUUCACCAAAUAAUGAAAACAGGUUAGGUUUCUCAAUUGAACACUAUUAUGAUACUUAAAGUAAAUUCAUACUAGUAAAAGAUAAUCAUGAUUAUAUUUGAUGAUUAUUCAUCAUCAAUAAAUAAGCAGCAAAUCACCAUUCCAACUGUAGUUAAAAAUAAAUAAAAAACCCUUUUUAGUAAAAUCAUACAUAUUUGUUGUAUUUUCAAGAUAGUACUUUUAUAUUUUUCCUUUCAUGAAUCAUGGCUAGAAUUAUGUAAAGGUUUUCCUUAACAAAGCAAUGUAUAGAUUGAAAAAAAGAGUAUAAAAUAAAAAAAAAAAGAAAAAAGAGAUUGAGAAAAUGUAUUAUAGAAACUAAAUUUUUUAUUGUCUGCCUUUCACGUUUCUAUUACACUAUACAACGAAUUCCUUUCCUUUAACUGUUAUCCAACUAACUAACAUGUUAACUAACUAUAAACAGCUAAUUAACUUGACAUGUGUUAAUUCUUUACUAGCUAACUCUAACUGUUGUUGUUAAAAUGCAAUUACCAUUGCUACCAUAUCUGUUAUAUUGCUUGUUGUUAUUGCCUUCAUUCUUAUACUAAAAGCUUACUAUUGAUUUCUUCCAAAGCUAUUCAACAAGCUUUUGUAACAAUACACCUCCCUAUAAGAAUCUUGUUCUAAAAAAUAGUCAUAACAGAUUUUAACUCCACAUUUAAAAAAAGAUAAAAAAAAAUAAUACGGAGUAAAAUGACAAUCAGGUGAAGAAAUAGGGCCCAAAAUAAAAUAAAAACAAAUAGUUUGGGUCUCUCCUAAACAACUUAAAAAAGGAUCAAGAGAUAAAGGGAUAAAAUGAUUGGCAAGUAAAGAUACGAGAUCAAUAGAUAAAAGAUCAGGAUGAAAAUAAAAUAUUUGAUGAAUAGUCUAUAUAUAGAUACACAGUUUAGAAAUUUUUUUUCAUAAAAGCAUACAUAAAAAAAUUCAUGAGAGAUUAAAGUGCAAAGCAUAGGAAAAUUCAAGAGAAAACACAGUGCAAAAAAAAAAAACAGAGAAAAAAACACUUUUCAUCUUCUUCCCUAGAUAACAAACCAAACCUUAGCCACCCUCUCUCUCAUUAACUUUCAACCAAUCAUGACAGACCAGCCAUAACCUUCUCUUACUGGUUAGCCCCUCUCUUCAACCACCCUACUACCAAACACUUGAUCAUCAUCGACAAAUAAGCCCUAAUUCCUUUGAAAAAGGAAAGAAAACCACUCCAACAACCCUUAAAAUUCUUAGCCUCUACAACUAUCCAGUUGGAUUUUUCUUCUAUUUUUAUUCAGCUAAAUACUAAAGAUCAACCUCAAUCUCUCUUGUUAAGAAUGAUAAAGAAAAUCCUUUAUUUACAAACCAAAACCAAGCCACAACUGUCCUAAAUUUUAACCUAAAAUCACACCAAAAUCUAUCAUUUUCCUAAUAAAUUAUCCAUAAACAUGACUAAAAACUCAUCUAAUUUAUCUUAAAAAAGAAUCCCAAAAGUCACAACCUUAAUUUUCUUUUAAAAUCCCAACAUUUUUAUGGGUUUUUUGAAAGUCAAUAGUAGUGUGUGAGGAGCAUUCGCUAACACCAAACCUACAACUCAAACUAUAAGUGCAUGAGACGCACAUGUUGAUAUUGUUUAGCCUUAUUCUAGGUAGGUCAUUUUUUAUGGUUUUAGAAAGUCAAUUUUGAAUCCAAAAAUUAUUUUUUACUUUGUAUAAUUUUAAAAGUAGAACCUUGUAGCCAAACCUAGGUCUUAAACCACUUCUUUAAGAUUAAUAGCCUUUACCAAAUAUGCAUAUACUAGUUUAAACAAAUUUCAGCAUGAGCACAAUAGGUAUUUUUAUCAUUAUAAAACAAGAACAAUGUAGCUUGUAUUAGGUAGAAUGCUUUAGAGUGAUGUUUAUCUUACCUUUAGCAUAAUUAACUCCUUACCUAGAACUUUGAAGACUAGUUAAAGUUUCCUAGUUACCAUAAACUAGGUGGCGACUCCUAUCAUCUCAGCAAAAACAACAUUCAAACAUUUUAUAAACAUCCAUAUAACAUUAACAACCAACUCAAAACAACAUUAAAUAAAGAAAAACAAUAUUUUUAUGCAUUAAUCAAGAUACAAGCUUAACUCCACAAGACACCAAAACAAGUAUAAAAUGUCAUUAAAACAUUUAAGAAAGAGCUAGAGUUGUACCUCAUGGACAUCACCUAAUAGGUUAGAUGAGGUUUUUAUACCUUCAAAGAUUCAAAUAAUGACUGUUACCUUUUUUUGCUCUCUUUUGCAAAACUUUACCUUUAAAAAUUUCAAACCUUUCAAAGUUAAAAAAAAAACUCUUGUGCUAGGCUCAUGAACCUUCAUAACUAAGUUUCUUUCUUCUAAUUUUCUCUUCUGCUUUUUUCCCUUGUUUUUUCUAUUUUUCUCUCUCCUAAUUCUCCUAGGUAUUUAUAAGUUUUUACUAGGUUUUUUUAUGGAUUCAAUCAAAGAUUGAUCAUUAUUAAUCAAUACUUGUCCCUCUAAUCAAAAUGGGAGGGUUUUGGACAAAUCUUCAUAGCUAAAAGCUCUGUACUUGGCUAGUUUUGUAAUGGUGGUUUUGGUUUUUAAGAUUCUUAGUGGUUUUGCUAGAAUUAGAGGGCAAUGAGCUAUUUCUAGCAUUUUGAUCUUGAGAGAAAGGUUUUAAGCUCUUAAUAAGAACCUUAUAAAAAGCUUUGAAGUGUGAACACAUGAAAAAAAAGAGUGGUCUUUGCAUAAUGGGUAUCACAGUCAUCGAUGACUGGGUUACCCACUUUCGAAGCCUUGUCGGAGCAACCCUGAUGUCAUUAUUGUUUACUACCACUUGAAGUUGGUAGAGGGGGUGUACACCUUUUAUUUGGAUCUAACCUUGCUUGAUUUAACGGUUUGUAGCUUCACAUUCACUCAUUUGAAAGUGCCAACUCGAUCAACCUAGAAUAUAUCAAUGCAGUGAUGAUUGAUCAGGGAUAAGAUGUUGUUGAGUUCAUUGAAGAAAAUGGGAUGUAAAUGUUUGAUGGGAGUAGUUUUUCUUUAUAAAAAGGAUGUUUCUCAAUUAAAUGGUGGUAGCUGCAACUCCUGAGGUGGUCAAAGACGUCAUAUUCAUUCGUUUGAAGAUGCUUACUCGAUCAGUCAAAGCUGUAAAAAAAAAGAUACAUAAUGGUUGAACGACGCGUCAUUCAAUACCUUUAAUUAAAAAAACAGAUAGACAAUGGUUGAUCUAAGUGAUGCAUCGUCUAGGUUAAACUAUGAAAACUAGGGUUUUUAAUUUUGGAUUGGGCAAACUUCAAUUUAGUCCCUGUUUUUUCAAUUGCUUUAAAUUAUGCCUGUAAUUGCCUCCUAACUUUUAAUUUCAUGCAAUUCCACCCCUAUAAAACUCAAUUGUCAUUCCCAAAGUUCAACAUCUUUUCUGAUUUGGUCCUUUAUUCCUGAUUUAUACAAAUUGACCAUCAAACUUUCAAUUGUCUUCAAUUUAGCCCAUGAUUUUGCCGAUUUAAGUCUCUGAAGUCCCGCGCCUUUUAUGGUUUGGUCAUUGAUUUUGAAUUUAUUUGAUCAAUCCCUAAUUGCCUAUUAAACUUCAAUAUUUGUGCAAUUAAACUCAUGAUUCAACCAAAUUAGAAACCAACUUAUCAGACAAAACAAUGAAAGGUUCUGAAAGUCAUGAUAAAACUUCUUGGACUAAAAAAAUAUUGCAUAAUUUUUGUGACAUUUAUAUCAAAGCUAUUAAUAUUAGAAUAAGAUCAAAUAAUCAUUUUGAUAAAGUUGGUUGAAAAUUUGUUAUGACUACCUUCAAGGAAAAGACUGGUCAUGCUUUCACCAAUACAUAAUUGAAGAACAAAUAGGAUGGUAGAAAAAACAAUUAGAGGAUAUGGAAAAAAUUGAUUGUUGAAAUUGGUGUUGGUUGGAGUAGUGAAUUAGAAAUUAUUUCUAUAAGUGAUGAGUGGUGUAAAGCAAUCAACCAUUGUCCAUUAUUGCUAGCUUUUCUAGUAGCACCAAAACCCAUCUUCUUCUCCUCAUAGAUUAACCACUAAUCAAUUAAAAAGUCAUACCUGCCCACUAUCUUGUUUUCCCUCUUCUUUAACUCCAUAGCUCGCACCACCAAUAGUGGACAAUGAUCCCAUGUAGGCAUAUUUGUUAGUCUGGAUGCACACCAAUAAUCUAAAUGUUUUGAUGAUAAUAAAAUAUGUGAUUAAUGUUGUAUAACUCUAAUGAUAGCAUAAUAUGUGAUUGAUGUUGUUUAAUAUAUGUUUAUGUAAGAUUUUGAUGAUAAGAUAAUACAUGAAUGAUAUUGUUUAAUGUAUGUUCAUGUCUAUGUUUUAUAUCGAUGUCUUAAAUUAGCAUAAAAAAUGAUGUUUUGAUAAAUGACUUUAUUUGUUGCAUUGAUAUGUUGAAAAAAAUAUUAGUUAAGUAAUGUUUUGAUUUGAAUAAUGUUUUUAUAUGAAUAAGUGAAUAAUGAAAUAAUGGAUAUAUUGGUUGGUAUUAUUGAUUUCAUAUUGUGAAAUUUUUUUAAUAUAUGCAUAAGUUCUUGAAAUUAGCAUUAUAAAUUAUCUCAAGCACGGUGAAGCAGUCAAAUCAAAAGAGAAACAAUGAAAGAGCACAUAACGACUUAUCAUUUAUCAAAGAGUCAUGGUAUAAAUUUAUUAUCCUCUGAAUUAUUUGUGAUAUGUGCUUAUUGAAAAGAGGUAUAUAAUAUUUGACUCCGUAUUUUCUCAUGAUUAUCUUAAUUAUACUUUUAUGGAAUAAAUUAUUUGAAUUGGUUGAUCUUUUAUGUAAACCCUGGUGUGUGUGUGUGUGUGUGUGUGUGAGAUAAAAAAAAAAAAGGUCUCGAAAAUUGAGUAAAUUAAUUGAUAUGAUUUGUACAAGUAUGAAAUAUGAAAAUUUGAAUUUUUGACGAAAAAUCACAAACCGGCUAAUUUUACGUUGUAGCACGUAACUUUCAAUUUGGUCAUCAGAUUAAGUUGAAAUUUUGCUUGGAGUCUUAUAAAAUAUUAUUUUAACUUAGGUUAAAGUUUUAGAAUUUUUGGAGUAUGAUAAGAUUUUUUUUUCAGAUAAAAGAACAAAUAGCACAAAUGAGUCUAGAAAUUUCUUUAGGGACCAAAUUGAAAACUUGCCCAAAACAACCCUCUUUAUAAGCUGCCAACAAAGAAAAAAAAGGAAAAAGAGGGAGUGUGCAGCCAGCCAAGAGAAGAAAAUAUGAAAAAAGGGCUUUUGUCAUUUUUCAUGGAAAUUGCUUGGAAAAAAAAAGUGCAAGUUAGAAAGAGUGUUAAGUAAUUAAAGAGAGGGUUUAAUACAUUAAGGAGCAUACAAGGAGUUUAAAGAUUUUAAAUGUGCUUUUAGAGAAGAAAAAAUUGAGCUUAGAGGAAAGUGUGAAGGAGAAGUUGAUUCAACUUGUUUUGGUUUUGAUUCUUCAUUCCUUAAGGGUAAGAAAACUCUCUAUGAUGAUCCAUUGUGUUGUUUUUCAUGUUUGUUCUUGGAUUGAGUAGAAUUGAUAUUAUGUGAAUGUGGGUUCUUGAUGUUAGGGUGGUUUGAAUGCAUGAAUUUAUGUUGAUUAUAUGUUUGUUGAGUGAAUAAAUGUUUGGGCUUGUUAUUAAUUAGGUUAAUUUGUUAAAAAAAAAUAAGGAAGCAAAAGAAGAAGAGAAAAGAAGAUGGAGGGGGAUAAAGAGUGGUUUCCACCUUGGAUUUGCUAUUGAUCCCUUAUUAUGUUAUGAGUAAAUAUGAUCUUAUUAUGUUGAUUAGUGAAAUUUUAUAUAUUGAUGCUUAGUUAUUAUUAUGUAUGAUUAUGGAACUCUUAGAUAAAUAGAAAUUGUGGAUGUAAUUUGUGAAGUUGUGCUAGAGUAUUGUAUGUUGGCAUGAAAAAAUAAAAUAAAAUAAAUUAAAUAAAUGAGUUAAAGAUAAUUAAGUAAAAAGUUGAAGAAUUAUCAUGUCACCAUUUAUGCUUGAAGUUCCGGCAAGGGUAAAGAAUUUUGAGGGGUGGGUUGAAUUGAUGUAAUUGAAAAUUUUUCAUGACUUAAAUGGAUGAAUUGAGUUUGGAUGAUGGAUUAAAAUUUAGAGUAAAAGGGAAUUUAUCCUCCUCUUAGAAAUAUGAAUUUGGCCAUGGAAAAUAUAAGAAAUAAAAUUUCAAGCUUGAAGAAAUUAAUGAAUUGCAUUUAAAUAGUGAAAAUAAUAAUAAUGAAAUAAUGUGUUGAAUUAGGUGUAAAUGAAUUAAAUGUCCUAUAGUUAUUGGGAAAUUUUUAUAAUAAUAUAAGAUUCCCUUAUAAUUAUGAUGAAUUAAAAGUUUAAGUGGAUGUAACAUUGUAAAAAUUAUUUGUGGAAUUAUUAAAGAACAUGAAAAAAAAUAAUGAUAAUAAUUUCAGGUAUUAAAAUUGUAUUGAUCGAAAAUUUUACUAUGUGGAGAAGUUUUAAGUAAAUUAUUGGAUGAUGAAGUAUUAAAAUCAUGUGAUCUUUUAAAUAAAACAGGAGAGGUUAGAGGCUCCAAACAGCAACAAGGAGCUACUAGUCGAGCAUCACUAGUAGGUAGGUGUCCGACAUCUUGAAUUUUUGUUGAGUGAUUAAUUGAAAAACAUGUGUUAAUUUUAAUUAGAAAUUCUGUAAUUUAUGUUUUGAUGUUAACGGAUGAAUUAGCGCCCGGUAAUUAAGUAGGUGAACUAGCGCCUUGUAAUUGGGCGGGUGAACAUAUUUGGGUAGAUGAACUAAUACCCGGUAAUUAGGCAAAUGAACAUAUUUGGGCGGAUGAACUAGUGCGGUAUUUGGGCAGGUGAACUAAUGCCCGGUAUUUGAGCGGAUGAACUAAUGCCCAAUAUUUGAGCGGAUGAAUUAGUGCCCGAUAAUUGGACAAAUGAACUAGUGCAUGAUAUUUGAGCGAAUGGAUUAUUGUCCCUAGUGAGAGAGUAGUACCCUCGUGAAAUGGCUAAGAUUGGAGUUAAUUGGAUGAAUAUGGAGGUGUAAGAUAUUAAGAUUCAUAAUAAAGUAUAUAGGAGAAAUAUUUGUAUAUGGGUGUAGUGAAAUGAUACAUUGCAUUUAUUGAUAAUUAUGUUGAUAAAAUGUUAAUUUUAUUUUCAGGACCCUCAGUAGAAUAGAUCAUGCUUGAAUAUAUGAUACUUUUUUGUAUUUAUAUUGAUCAACAUGUAUUUUGAGAUUAAUGAAUGAUGUAAAAGAGGUUGAAUGAACCUUUUUAUUUGUGGAACAAAAUUGUUAUAUGUAAUUAAUGUAAAUGUCAUACUUAAAAAUAUUUUUGUAUUAUAUUAAGUAUUUGCAUUUUAUCAUAGUUGCUUAUAGGAUUAGAAAUGUUAGAAUGAUAAAAAGAAGAAGAAGAAGAAUUUACCUCAAUGUUUUAUAUUUAACUAAGAAAGUGUCCCAGAUAAAAUAAUAGGAGCGUUACAUUCAUAAUCUAAGUUUUUAUUGUUUUUCUUAGAAUCAAUUAAUUUUGCAAGUUAUGUAAACCUUAGAAUUAUUUAUGUAUUUUAUUUUUAUUGAUUGCAUUUUUAUUAUCGGACAACACAUGUCUAUUAUUUUUGUGAUGUAUUGAUUGGAAAAAAAGUUCAAGAUGAUAGGACCAUAAUUAUGAUAUGAAUUGUGUCAGGAAUAAAGAUGUUGAUAACUUGGUAUGGUCUCGUUACAGGAAAAAUUCUGUCAAAUUUUUGGAGAAAAAAAUUGCACCGAAUAAAUAAAUAUGUUUUUUUUUGUCGUCACAUUUUAUCUCUAAGAUAUCUUUUAAUAAUGAUAUAUACUUGAUAUAUGUUUUGUAGCAUUAUAUUUAUAUCAUGAUUGCAUUCAGUAGAAGGAGAAAUACAUAUGUUGUCAUGAUUAAGGUUAUUCAUGUGCAAGUUGAUAUAAUUAAUGAGUUGCAACUAAGUGAUUUAACAAUACUCUUGAAGAGUUGUACUUAAUUGAUUUUACACUCAAAAGUUAAGUUGUUUUAAACUUAAUGUUUAAAUUGCUUUAUACUUAAAAGUUAAGUUUUUUUAAAAGUCGAUAUUUAACUUGUUUUAUAUUCAAGAAUCAAAUUGUCUUAAACUAAAAAUUUAACUUGAUUUAUCCUAUAUGCUUAAAGUUUAUGAUAUCAUACUUGAAUCUUUAUGUUACUUAAUGAUUAGAUAAUCAUUUAUUUAUUUGAAUGCCUUUAUGCUUAAAUUUAUAUAUAAUAUACUUGUGUGAAACAUUUAUUAUUGCUUAAGUUAAACUAUAAUUAAAUAUGAAGUUAAGGAAUGCGUAAAAGCUAGAGUGUGUGUGUGUGUGUGUGUGUCCUUGUAUUUAUAUGUUGCACAAGCUUUGUGAUGAUAUAGACAGGCUUUAAAAGAAUGAAAUCAUUCAAGGAAAUCAUCAAAGAAGCAAGGCAUGGAUACAUGAAGUGUCAUGAUAACAAUUUUUUACUUCAAACAAAAAUCUUGAGACAAUAAUGACCUUCCAACUUCAAAGAUCAAGAUCUUGUAAAGAGGGUUUUGCCAAAUAACUUUUAAUUUAUUUAGAAAUUGGUUUCCAUACCAACAAACCUAACCAAACCCAAAAGAACACAAAAUAAGAACGAAAUUCUCAAAACAUGAGAAUUUUUCAAGUACCUAAAUCGGUCUAGCCAAUUUAAAAAAUAAGUUUUUAAGUUUGUCUCUAUUGAUAUUUGAGUUGAUCAUUAGGUUAUAUUUUGCUUUAAGUUGAGAAUAAUUUUUUAAUUGACAACCUAAUUUACCCUCCUCUUAAAUUCACCUAGACUUCCAAUAUUAAGUACGAGUAGUGGCUUUUGGGACUAUUUUAGAACAUAACCAGUAAAAGAUGGACCGAAACUCAAUUUAUCAUCUUGAUGUAAACUCGAAGGGUAGGAAUCCUAAAACCCAUAAUCAAGAUUGAUCACAGCCCAAAAAAGUUAAAAUCAAGUUGAAAAGAAUUUGAAUUCAACACAAGAUAACUCAAUAAAUUCAAUUUAUAUAUGAAAUUUUUCUAAGGCUCCUAAUUUCAACAAAACUGAUUUUAAUCAAUCUAAUUUUGUGAUUUGAUGUUCUUUUUUAUAUAUAAAUUUUAGCAGAAACUUAAUAACAUAUAACUUUUCUUAUAUAUAUAUAUAUAUUCAAAGAAAAUGCAACACUAAGCUAAACUAGAGAACAAACUGAAAUUCAAAACACAUAAAACUUGAUUUUGGUGUUAAGCUCUGAUACCAACUAAUGUAAACCCGGAGUGUAAGAACCCUAAAAUGUAUAAUCAAGAUUGAACACAACCUGAGAAAGCUAAAAUUAGAUUGGAAAAAAAAACAUGAUCUAAUGAUCAAUUGAACCAAUGAACCAUAGUUAUUGGAUGAAAACUCUAACUCAUUGAUUAUAACAAACCACGAACUGAAGUUAUAAGGAUGAACAUCAUAAAGAAGUAAUCUUUGAUAAGUUUUGAAGAAUUCAAUGGAAAACUAACAAUAUGAGUAACCUUACACACACAAUAUUAGUUUUGAAAUCAAAAUUACCCCAAAACCUAAAUACAAGUUAAAUAACCUUAUUUAUACUAGGUUAAACUUCCUAAACAAUACUGAAAAAAUAACAAAAGAGUUGUAAAUAAAAUAGAAAAAAAAAAACCUAAAUCAACUAGGAAAUACUGCAAAUCUUGAAUAUUAACUUCUGGGCUUAAUAGAAAAGCUUUUUGGAUGUCUAAUCCCUAUGAAAUUUUAAUUUUAUAGGAAACAAGAUCUUUAAAAUCUUCUAAAAAACUUUAAACUCGAUCCAAUUGUUAGAUAAAAGGUUAUGCCCAUUAACAUAAAAUUGCAUAUUAGAAAAAUAAGCCUAAUCUGCAUGCCUCAAGCCCAAGAACCAGCUUAUUUCUUUGCAUGAACUACAUUAAUUAAAGCAUGAUCAUCCAUUGUUUUAAUUUUGAUGUUUAAUUUGGCCUAAAUAUCUUGAAUUAGUCCAUUUAAUGCUUCUUUAAUCUUCUUAGCCCUUAACCAUGUAAUUUGCCCAAUUGACAUCUCUAAUAAAUUAUUUGGUAAUGUUUGUUGAUUCUCAUCACAUUUACCAUCAUUUUGAGUCCAACACUCGUACUUUAAAAGUGAGAACUGAGCAGUGUUGUUAGGCUUAAAUCCCAAAUCACUAUUUUAAGCCUUAGUAGUCCUUUACAUUUAACAAUAUAUAUCAAUUUAGAUAUAUUCUUAGCAUGUACCUACUUUUAUUGUUAAAAAUAAACACGAAAUAGCUUGCUUUAGGUAGGAUAUUUUAUGAUGACUUUAAUCUUUUCUUUAACAUAAUCAGAUCCUUAUCUGGAAUCUCUAGAGACUAGUCAUGGUUUUUAAUUAUUAUAAAACUAGGUGGCGACUCAUUUAUUUUAAUUUUACCCUUUUUACAUCUAGUUUGUUGAGAUGUCCCCUACAACACCAGCUAUAUAGGUGUGAUCAAAUGAUUUUUAUAUUAAUAUUAUCCUUAAACCUUAAAAAACAAAAGCUCUCAAUCAAGUAUUUUCAUUUAUUUUAAGGUUAUCCAUCCAAAUUAUGCUAUUUUUGUGGGGGAAGAGUUAUUUUAUAAGAAACUUAAUAUUUUUCAUUAAGUGCCCGUUUGGGAAUGCGGUGCAAAUCGCAUUCCUAAAAAUUUUGAAUUUGUUUUGUUAAAAAUAAUUUUUUAUGUUUUUAGAUCGUUUUGAUGUGUUCAUAUUAAAAAUAAUUUUUAAAAAAUAAAAAAUAUAUUUUUUUAAUGCAUUUUUAAGGAAAAAGCACUUUGAAUCGCAACCGCUACUACAAUUUCAAACACACUAACAUAAAUUCUUAAUUGGAAAAUCAAAAUAGUGUAGUGAAAUUAAUAUAAAAAAUAGUCAAAGUAUAAAAUUGAUAAUACCCGAUAAUUUGAUGUUAUAUUUAAUAUUUUCCUGGAAAAAUAAAACAUAAGAACGCCUUUAAGAAAAGUAGUUGCUUGUCUUGUAAUUAUGGUUUGAUUUUCCGUGACGAUGCUCCUAAUAAUAAUAGGAGGCAGCAGUAACCUGAACCAUACGGUUGGCCGGGCCAGCAACCGGCAAUAUCCUCCGUUUCUUCUCCGCCUCUCUUUAUUAAGCCCUUGAAAAGAACUAUUUGAUCAUGAACCGACCUCUACUAAGUCUUACGAUGGCACCUACACAGUUGAAUUGGUAUUGCGGGUUUCAUAUGAUGUUUUUUUAAAGUGUUUCAAUUAAAAUUUACAGACACUAACUUGAAUGUAUCAAAGAGAAAGAAAAGGUGAGGGAAGUUUUAGAAGUGUAAACUAAACUAGAAAAGCUGGCUGGUUCGAUGUGUUUCUUGUAGCCCAGCAUUUUUGGGUCCUCUCUCUCUCGCUCUAUAAAAAAUAAUUUCAUACUACAAUUAGGCCCUGCGUCUUCGCGGGUCUUUACAGGCAACACGCUUUUCUCUCCUUCUCAUUCCAUCGUCAAAUCAUAUAUCCUUUUUCUUUUCCAAAACAUCACUUGACUCUCUCUUUCUCCAUUAUCUUUCAAGUACAAAUUGCCCCAAAAGAAGGACGUUAUGAUCAAUCUCUGAGUUUUUCAGGUCAUUGGCUCUUGCUUUUUUUCUUCUUCAUUGGAUUUGACCCUCAUAUGCUGCAAUAGAUUUUACAUACAUUCGCGAUUCAAUGACGUUUGAUCAGAUAUCCUAUUCAUGCAUAUCAUCAUUAUUGUUUCUCUUCUUUUUCUUCCUCUUUCUUAUGAAUCCCUUGACAAAUUUUAAUGUUUUUAUUGUUUAUUGUUUAAAUGAAUCAGUUUUGUUGUUACAUAAUUAAUCAAGGAAUGCAUGCAUGCAGGGAGUGGGGGAUCAGUUUUAGCUUGAUUAGCUGAUUAAUGAAUUUGUGCAGCACAAGAAGCAAAGAUGUCGGGUUUUGUGGGUGUACUUGUUUCUGAUCCAUGGCUUCAAAGCCAGUUCACUCAAGUCGAGUUACGCUCCCUCAAAUCUAAGGUAACUCACUCACUCUCUCUUCUUUUCAUUACAUUCUCGUUAUUGUUAAUAUUCUAAUGUCUGUUUUUUUUUUUGGAUUGGUUUUAGUUUGUGUCGACGAGGACUCAGUGCGGUAGUGUCACGGUGGGGGAUUUGCCACCUAUUUUUGCUAAAUUGAGGGCCUUCACUGAGAUGUUUAAUGAGGAUGGUAUUAAGGCUAUGUUGGGGGAGGCAGGUUUCAACAUGGAAGAAGAACUCGACUUCGAAUCCUUCCUAAAGGUUAAUUAAAGCUUAUUUGGCUUAGCUUUUAAUUCUUUGAUUAUUUUCUCGUUUGAGGACUGCUUAAAAUGCUUUUCUUGUUAUCUUGGUGUUUAAAUUUUAAGCAUUGACCUUGCUAAACUUCAAUUGGCAGGCAUACAUAAAUUUGCAAAGCCGAGCAACUAAAAAAUCAGGUGGGAAGAAACUGAAAAGCUCUGUUUCCUUUCUCAAGGCAGCCACAACUACAUUUCACCAUAACAUCAACGAGUCAGAGAAGGCUUCCUAUGUGUCCCACAUUAACAGCUACUUGGCGGAAGAUCGCUUCUUGAAGAAAUAUCUCCCAUUAGAUGCAGCAACAAAUGACUUAUUUGAUCUUGUAAAAGAUGGAGUUCUUCUUUGGUAGAUGAGUCGCAUCCGCUUGACAGCAAUUUUAUUGUUGAAGGAUGUUUUGAAUAUAUGUUGAUGCUUUUUAAUGCUUAAUGCAGUAAGCUUAUAAAUGUGGCUGUUCCUGGGACCAUAGAUGAGCGAGCUAUUAACACAAAAGGGACCCUUAAUCCAUGGGAAAGGAAUGAGAACCACACCCUUUGCCUUAAUUCUGCAAAGGCUAUUGGCUGUACAGUUGUUAAUAUCGGCACACAGGACCUUGUUGAAGCAAGAGUAAGUUGGGCUGCUUAGCUCUCCCUUGCAAUCUUGUUAUAUUUUUCUUUGUGGUUUCAGUUAUUCUCAAUAUUUCCAGUUUCUCUUUUGCAGCCCCAUCUGGUACUUGGAUUGAUUUCUCAAAUUAUUAAGGUAUUCAACUUAAGAUUUCGUCCACUACAUGUGUAAAAUUCAUUUUGUGAAGCAGGAUAUAUAUAGAAACAAUGAUGAUGGUGAUAGUCUUGUUUAAAUUAAAAGACUUGAAGAUUAGGUGUCUAUGCUUUUAACAUGUCGUCUUCCAAUAUGGUGGCAACUUUCAGAUUCAGCUAUUAGCCGACCUUAAUCUUAAGAAAACUCCUCAACUUGUGGAAUUGGUGGAUGACAGCAAGGUCAGAAGUUGUCGUUUUCAUUUACCUUCUUUCCAUGCUUCGAUUGUAUGAGGGAUGUUGGGUAAAUCUGUUUGUGCUAUCCCAUAUGUUUUGCUUAUUACUUACAGAAAUUUGCAGGAUGUGGAGGAGCUCUUGGGUUUGGGACCUGAAAAGGUUCUAUUGAAAUGGAUGAAUUUUCAUCUGAAGAAAGCUGGCUACAGUAAACAGGUUACAAACUUCUCUUCUGAUGUGAAGGUAAGCAAAUUCAGCAAUUUAUUAUUUAUCGAUACUUCAUGUUCAUAUCUUAUGCAAUUGGUGGCAUUUUAAUUUGGGAUAAAAACCUUGGCUGAGUGGAUUUCCCAUGCACUUUUUAAUCAAUUGAGCAUUUGAAGCAGAUAUUUGCAUUAACAAAAUCAGUUUUUGUUGUAGAUUUUCUUCCAUUAAAUAAACUUCAUAUGGGAUUUUGUAAACUAAUACUUUCUGGUAUUCUUGUUUUAUCUCUUAUUCUCUUCAUAAUUUUAACCCUUGAAUUUGCAGGAUGGAGAGGCCUAUGCUUACCUUCUCAAUGCUCUUGCCCCAGAACACAGUAGCCCUGCUUCCUUGGAUACCAAGGAUCCGACAGAGAGGGCAAACAUGGUUCUUGUGCAGGCAGAGAAGCUGGAUUGUAAAGGAUAUCUCACUUCUAAAGACAUUGUUGAGGGAUCACCAAAUCUUAAUCUUGCAUUUGUGGCUCAAAUAUUUCAGCACAGGUACUGAGAAAAGAUGAACAUUUUUAAGUGACAUUUUUGCUUGCAUUUCCUCUACCUUUUGAUGCUCUUUGUCCCGUUGCGUAUCCAUAUUUGCUUCUGGAAGUUUAGUUUGUCAUUAAAAUAUUUAAAAUAGGUUAUUGAUAUCCCUGCUUCUUCUAUCAACAUUUCUAGGUUGCGAAAUAAGAUUUAUCUAGUCAACUAUUUUAUCAAUUUCUUUCACUCCAGUCUGACCGUCGUCUGCUUCUUACCAAUUACCAUCAAUAUAUUGUGGCUAAUGGAAUUUUCAUUCUGCCAGCCAGCUUCUUGUUCAUUCACAAUGAUUUUUCCAUAUUGCUAAAAGCUUCCUAUUUAGUGCCCUCCAUGCAACUUGAUUGUACUGAAUUAGAAAGUCUUUUUUGUGCAAAUGCUGGCUUUUUCUGUAAGCAUUAUUCUUGAAAUUUGUGUCACCAGUACAUGAAUUUCUCUUGCAGAAAUGGGCUGUCUGCUGAUACCAGUAAGAUGUCCUUUGCUGAGAUGAUGACAGAUGAUGCACAAACUUCUCGAGAAGAGAGGUGCUUCCGACUGUGGAUUAACAGUCUUGGAACUGCUACAUAUGUCAAUAAUGUUUUUGAGGAUAUCAGGAACGGGUGAGAUUUUCGUUUCCUCCUCAAUACGAAGCCUCAUUGAACCUUCAUUGAUGUUUAUGAUUUGCACUGCAGAUGGGUUCUUCUAGAAGUUCUUGACAAAGUUUCUCCGGGAUCAGUUAAUUGGAAGCUGGCAUCCAAGCCUCCUAUAAAGAUGCCAUUUAGAAAAGUUGAGAAUUGCAACCAAGUAAUACAGAUAGGGAAGGACUUGUGCUUCUCCCUUGUGAAUGUAGCUGGAAAUGACAUUGUCCAAGGAAAUAAGAAGCUCAUAUUAGGUUAUCUUAUUCAACUCAACCCCCUGACUUCUUCCUUCUUGAUUGGUUAUAGCUGAUUAGGCAUCGGUGGUGGUGGUUGACGUUCUUCUCUAAUCAGCUUAUGUGUAAUCAACUUGUUUGUUCUAAAAUAGCUUCGGCAACAACCUCUUUAACAAUUUUCUUUUCCCUUCCCUUUUAAUUUGACAACGUUUCUGUCCCAAUUUAGUUGUUUGUGACUGCUUUUCAGUUUAUAUUGCGAAGAACUGACUCUUCCCUCUCUUUUCCCCGCAGCCUAUUUAUGGCAACUGAUGAGGUUUACGAUGCUUCAACUCCUGAAAAACUUAAGAUCUCACUCCUCCCACUCCCAGGGUAAAGAGAUUACAGAUGCUGACAUUCUAAAAUGGGCAAACAACAAAGUGAAGAAAGCAGGUAGAACGUCUCAAAUGGAGAGCUUCAAGGUAAUGAAUGAAUUUGACCUUGUUAGACAAUUUUAUUCCAAGUUCUACCUUAGGAUUUACCUUUCUCUGUUUUGAUGUCUUGCUUCUAGGAUAAGAACCUUUCAAAUGGAAUUUUCUUCCUUGAGCUUCUUAGCGCGGUGGAGCCUAGAGUGGUCAACUGGAGUGUGGUUACGAAAGGAGAAACUGGUACAUUAUAAUCCUUUAUCUCUCUAAUCUCAACAUAUUUCUUAUUUGCUUGCGGAUGUUGGAGUUGUAUGGCAAUCGCCGAACAAAUGGGGAACAUGCCGAGCUCAAACCAUUUUGGCUUCCUAAGCAGCACUACGCUGGAACCUGUGUGCCUAGUUUAGUUUGACACAAUCGACACGAAGACCAUGUCUCACUUUAUUUCUUUCUGACGCUGCAGACGAGGAUAAGAAGUUGAAUGCUACCUACAUAAUCAGUGUUGCCCGAAAGCUUGGGUGCUCCAUCUUCUUGUUACCCGAGGAUAUUAUAGAGGUGGGCUCACUGUUCUGAACAUAGAACGAACAUAUUUUGAAUAUUAAAUGAAGUGCCGUGUCUUCUUUCCAUUUGUCUCUGGUAGGUUACUUGUUCAGGUCUAGCUAAAAAGUUUAAUAAAAAUAGCCACCAUGAAUCAUCAAGGCUGGUUCGGCCCCCGAGUCCUCUUCAUGCACCAGAAGUGUUAUUUGCCAGAUUCUUUAGCUUUCUCUUUUGACGACCUUACUUGAGGUCUUUAAUGAACUCUUUGAGAGAAAUGCAAAGAAGUCUGUCAACAGAUGGUACCGUAUUGACCCCAACUGAUUUCAGCAGAACUGGAUUUAACCAGAGUACAGUAUAUUAGUUUGGCAGAUCGUAACGAUCAACUUUGCUUUCGUGUUUAUGAUUAUGACAGGUAAACCAGAAGAUGAUCCUUACAUUGACUGCAAGCAUAAUGUACUGGAGCCUGCAGCAACAGGGUUACUCAGAGUCUUCUGCUGCUGAAGACAGUGAUGUUCCUGAUGCAUCCCCUCCCCCGUCUGUAAAUGGCGAGAAAGAGGAAGUUCUGGUUGGUGAGGUUUCCAAUUUGACGGUGGACGAUGCAGUUUCAGAUGCUACUAAGUCCUACUGAGUCGACACAUGUGGAGGAAAAAGAUCCUUACAUGAAAUGACCUGAAAAUGCUGCAGCACUUUUUUCAUUACUGAUUCAUUUCCAAAGAUGAGAAUCGAAGGAAAAUACAGCAGCCGUUGGCAGAUACACACUGUCUCUGUGUGCAGAACAGACGGGGGUCUUCAGAAUCAAUGUGCUCCUGAAGCACACAAGGAAAAAGAGAAGGAAGGGGGGGAAUCCGGUAAAUUGCAUUCUUUAAUUAGAGCCUGAUGUUCUUAGGCAUAUUCUUUUAACACUGUUGCAUUCAUCAUGCUGAAAUAAUUGGGCUAAUGAUACGUUUUGCCCAUGUAUUUUUAUUUUUUUUUAAUGUAUUUCGUCGUGUAAUUUUAUAUAUAUAGAUUCUACCUUUAUAUUUGUUUGGUAGGAACACAGGGGGAGGGAGAAAAGAGGGUGGCCAGUUUUUUUUUUUCCUCAAGUUUCAUUAAAAAAUAAUUUUCAUUUGUCAAUUUAAUGUAAGGGCACAAAUCUUAAUAAAACAAUAGUAUAAGGACAGAACCCAUAAAAAGAAUUAUACAAUGACAAGAUUUAUAUGUCGGGAAAAAAUGUCUAAACGUUACCUUCUCUAUUGCCAACUUUGUGCGAGGGUGUGCAAAGGAAAUUAUGUAAAACAAAAUUCACAUAAGAGGAAAGUUCAUGCAGGGGAAUCCUGAAUAUCAUCAACUACUGUUUCAGAUUCUUUCUUUGCCACAAGCAUAAGCAUCUCCAGGCGCUUGUCAAAAAGUAAUGCACUCUCAUCUCUCUUGUCAAGAUCAGCCGCUUCAGCUUCAAGCCAUUUCUCUCGCAAGUCAUCAAGGAGAUUUCCCUGGUCUGUAUUCAGGGCAGCUCCAGGAGCGCUUGGGGCAGUUGUGCGGAGCGAGGAAUCUCCAGAUGGUGGAGGCACCGUUAAAAGCAUUGCUCGGAAAUCACGAGUAUCAGCAAAUGUCUCAAAGUUACAGGCUAUUGUAUCCAGACAGUACUCCCUGAUCUUGAUGACACCAUACCUACGCACGUAAAUUCACCAAUUAACAACUCGGUAGACACCACUUGGCUCUAACUAGUAAGAUACAUUUAGGUUCAACCAAAGGUCAAUUUUAUGGCCAUCAGCUAAAACUGAAUCCUGGUUCCCUCAGAAAAAUCAGAAAAGCAGGACUUCAAAUUAGGAGCUUAACCACUAAAUUCCUGAAUGAUAGCAUGACACAAUCUGUUCAUUGAGAAAGGUGGCUGAUAUUUAGAUUCCUAAACCUGUUUUCAAUGUGUCUCAACUCAACACACCCUGACACAUGAUUGAAACAACACAAAUAUAUACUCCUUCUCAACACCUGAAUAAAUUGAACUUCAAGCCCAUCCCAAAUACAUUCAAACCAGGAAAUCAAUUAAAUUUUAAGAAAUAAGAAGGUCAAUAAACAUGCAUCUUACAUGUCUGACAGUAUCAGCCAAUGGCACAGUUCUGCUGGUGAGACCAUUUCCAGUUGUGGCAACAGUACAUCAGCAACUGCACGCUUAAGGGGAAAUAAUAGAUAUCUUGAAGCAGCAUCAAACAUUUCCUCUGCCUGCUCAAACAAUAGAGUCAGUAUUUGAUAAUAUCAAGUCAGGCACAUGCCAUUUUGACACAUAACGUACCUGCCCUGGAUUUAUAUCCUUUAAACCAUCAGUAUACCUGAACCAAAGAAGUAAAAAUAAGUCCCAUGACAGUUGUGCUUAGCAUUGCCAAUAACAAAGUGAAUUUCAUUGUUGCAUAUAAUGAUUCCAAGAAUUAAAACGGUUGAUUAUACAACACACAUUGCAAGGAGAUGCUGAUUUUAAGCAACACAUUUCAGACUACACCCAAGACUAUUUCUAAAUCUACAGAGCCCUGGGACCACUACUACAGGGAAUAAUUGGCACUGGCCAAUGGACCAAGCCUGGAAAUGAAUACUACCCUCUAGACAAUUUUAAUUAGGAUUAGCCUUCUACAAGAAAAGAAAGCACUUACAUAUACUCCACCAUUUUCUCAAAUGCCUCCAUGCUUAAAUCAUGUUCUUCAAAACAAGGAACAGCACCACUAGGUAACCCCACUUUCCCUUCAUGAAAGUCCUUCAUAUGGGACAGUCUUGCUCUAAAGUAUUCUGACCUUGAUGCCAAAACCACUUGAUGGCAACGAAAAAUCUUAUUAUCAACUCUUACACAAAUAUCAGCAAGAUCAUCUACACAAUCAUUCAUUUGCACUACAUUAAAAGAAGAUACUAGCCUAUCAACAUCAUUUUCUAGGUUUUGUUGCAUAGUGGACCUUGCCAAAGAGCUCUGAAGGACCCGGUGCAGGGCAGCAGAAAGCCUGUCUUCCUCAGGAAGUGAUAGGCCCUGUAAGAUAUAACGUUUCUGAGAGUUGUCUAGAUCUCUCAGUGCUUUGUACUCUGCAUAUUUUUGGUGAAUCAAUUCCUUCUCAAGAACCCUUUGUA